rnacentral:lncRNA from 1 species
GCCUUUUCAAGUGUCUGCUUACUGAUACCUCUGCCACAGGCUUCAGGGUUUGUUUUUGCAAGUUUUUUGCACAUUACGUUUAGCAAGCCUGUUUGUGUGUGACCACUAGAGUCAGACUCCUUUGGCUCUCUCCUGGUACCUGAUGGAAGGGAAGCCGUUGAUUUAGAAGCCACUAGCAACUCAUCAGAAGCUUUCUGAGUGAUGGCCAACCUUCACUUCAGAGGCAUGGCUGCUGAUUUAAUACUCUAGCUGGAGACUAUCUCCGCAUUUGGGAACAGCCAAGAAGAAGCACAGUUCCUGGUCAGACACUGGUUUCCCAUCCUGAGACAUACAGACAGUUGGUCAGGUCUCCUGCCACCACCAGAGUGGAAGAAGGGACUGUCCUGCCUUGCUUUAAUCCCAGUGUUUCCCAAAGAAGUAAUGACAGGCUCUGGUUGUCGACCCUCUCUAUCCUCAUCAGAUCCUGAACCAAGCGCUUCUGAAACUCUAGUUCCCGUAAAUAAAUUAUUACUAUGAAAUUGCAAAUUCUAAUUACUAAAAAAGAGAAGAACCCUAAACUUCUCUGAGUUAUUGAAGAGCUUGGCCAAAUAAGCCAGAAAAGCUUUAAAAUGAGAUGAUAAAUAAAGCAAUAAAACUUACUCGGAAGAAAACCCUU